GGCAAAAUUAAAUGCAGUGAUCCCAGAGAGAAAGGAAACAAGCAAGGAUCCCUUCUCUGGACAUUGAGGCUCCUUGGAGGAGAGCAGGUGUCUGGUCCGCAGGCAGAUGUCUGAUGCGAGGGACCCACGGUAACUCCACCCUGCAGACCGGGCCACAGAGGCAGCUUCUCCGGGGCCGCUUGGCUCUGAGGAGUGGGGUGACCAGAAGAUUCUGGGUCUACUGGAUUUUGAAAAAAGGCAGACAGCAGAGUGAGACGGAGACAGUCUGGAGAGCCAGCCAGCAGAACUCUGCACAGCUGUAUUCUCCACCUCCCACCUUGCGCCCUGCUGUCCCCGGGGUCGUGGACCAGCAGAGGGUGGGCAGGAGACCGCAUUCACAGUGUGGCUCCUCACUGUCAUCCCAGAGUCUCCCCUCACGAGCACCCCGGCUGCAGGGUGUAACCUGAGGCCCUAGCAGGGCCCAUGGAGCUUCUGCUGCUUUUCCCCGGGGGCCCUGAUGUGACAUUUCUCGUCCAGGAAGAGGAUGGAAGAUGAUAAAUUGAGCCACGCAGAGGAGAGGUAACUCCCUCCUGUCCUCAGAGUGUCCCGAAGACCCUCCUUUGCCUGGUGAGUGACAUACUAGAGCCCGCACGGUGACAGCUCAGGUAUGUGGCACCCCUCGGACCCACCCCUCCCUGGGUGGAGUGGCCCAGCUGUGGUGGGCACUUCCUCACCCAGCCGUGGGCACAGGCCAGACCCUGAGCCCAGCGGCCCUGUAAUUUCAGAUGUAGCUGGGCAUGUGUGUGUUAUUGGGUGAUACUUAAAUCCUAACCUUUUCAAAAGCAAACCCAAGUAAGCACAUAUUGGAGAACCAUAAUUCCAAGCUUGGAGGCCUCCCUCAAGGCGAUGGGGAGUGUGGCAUCGUGACCGCUAACCCGGUCCCUCCGCGGCCUUGGGUUUAAAAGCGUCUGUGUCCAGCCGGGAGGUGAACUCCUGACAGCAACGCCCGUCCAGCCCACACCUCUGCCUGGCAGUGUGCAGCAGGACCCCUGAAGCCCAAGUCGAGAGCAGCGCCUGGUCUCCACCCGAGACUGGGUGGCGGAGAAGCGCUGCCUCUGACCUCAGUGAGCAUGGAGAGGCGGUGACAGGUUUGGACAGUAGAGAUUUCAGCAAUUUCUGGAAGGUCUGAACAGGACCUGCCUCGGAAGCAGAAUCGGAUUCCGCUGACUGGGACAACGUCACGUGACAGCGAGUCCAGCGCCCGGGGCCUGGGAGAACAAAGGCGGCUGACCCGUCACAGGAGCUGCACGGCAAUGCAUCUGAGACCAUGCGGUGUCACCUUCACAGAAGUGCUCUGGCACAGAGACUCCAGCCUUGCCGGCCUCUCGCCUCCCAAGCACAGAAGCCUCCAGAACGCUGCUUCAAGGACAAGCCCAGGAGACCUGCCAUGCUCAUGCGUGUCUUUGGAAACAGGUUCUCUAAAUUUUGCUUGUGGUUUGUUAAAAAAAAAAAAAAAAUCAGAAGUGUAAUCAAAGACUUCAACAAACGAAGCACCAAAACACUUCAGCUUUGAAAUGUAGAAUUGCAAUGACUGGAAACACGGCUCGCAAAGCAAAAGACAUUAAAAUUCAGUCAUCCCUACAGAAGCCGGACAGGAAUUGAUCACAUCCACUAGUGAAGGCUCAGAAAGUGACAAGAUUUCAUUUGGAAAUCGUACCUGUGUCCUUGGGAACAUCCUGAACCUUGGGAAGCAUCAGCUCAUGGAGUUCCUAUUAACUGGAUAAAUUUAUAUUCUAGAUUGAAAUGGAAUGGAAUUAAGUAGGCCCACGGUUUUGCAGCACGUACAUUUGAAGAAUCAUUAAAAAUCAUCAUAGAAACAA
rnacentral:lncRNA from 1 species